rnacentral:rRNA from 1 species
GGUCAAGCGAAUAAGCGCACACGGUGGAUGCCUUGGCGGUCAGAGGCGAUGAAGGACGUGGCAGCCUGCGAAAAGUAUCGGGGAGCUGGCAACAAGCUUUGAUCCGGUAAUGUCCGAAUGGGGAAACCCACCCGCUUGCGGGUAUCCUGCAGUGAAUACAUAGCUGCUGGAAGCGAACCUGGUGAACUGAAAUAUCUAAGUAACCAGAGGAAAAGAAAUCAACCGAGAUUCCGUAAGUAGCGACGAGCGAACGCGGACUAGCCCUUAAGCUGAUUUGGUUCUAGGAAAACGCUCUGGAAAGAGUGGCCAUAGAAGGUGAUAGCCCUGUAUCUGAAAGGGCCAUUUCAGUGAAGACGAGUAGGGCGGGGCACGUGAAACCCUGUCUGAACAUGGGGGGACCAUCCUCCAAGGCUAAAUACUACUGACCGACCGAUAGUGAACCAGUACCGUGAGGGAAAGGCGAAAAGAACCCCGGAGAGGGGAGUGAAAUAGAACCUGAAACCGUGUGCGUACAAGCAGUAGGAGCUCCGCAAGGAGUGACUGCGUACCUUUUGUAUAAUGGGUCAGCGACUUACUGUUCGUGGCAAGCUUAACCGUAUAGGGGAGGCGAAGGGAAACCGAGUCUGAUAAGGGCGCAUAGUCGCGGGCAGUAGACCCGAAACCGGGUGAUCUAGUCAUGCCCAGGGUGAAGGUGCGGUAACACGCACUGGAGGCCCGAACCCACUCCCGUUGCAAAGGUAGGGGAUGAGGUGUGAUUAGGAGUGAAAAGCUAAUCGAACCCGGAGAUAGCUGGUUCUCCUCGAAAGCUAUUUAGGUAGCGCCUCAUAUGUAUCCUCUCGGGGGUAGAGCACUGUUAUGGCUAGGGGGUCAUCGCGACUUACCAAACCAUUGCAAACUCCGAAUACCGAGACGGACUGUAUGGGAGACACACGGCGGGUGCUAACGUCCGUCGUGAAAAGGGAAACAACCCAGACCCACAGCUAAGGUCCCAAAUUUUGUGCUAAGUGGAAAACCAUGUGGAAAGGCACAGACAGCCAGGAGGUUGGCUUAGAAGCAGCCACCCUUUAAAGAAAGCGUAAUAGCUCACUGGUCGAGUCGGUCUGCGGGGAAGAUUUAACGGGGCUAAGCACAGAACCGAAGCUUGGGGUGCAUACUUUGUAUGCGCGGUAGAGGAGCGUUCCGUAAGCCGUUGAAGGUGGAUUGAGAAGUCUGCUGGAGGUAUCGGAAGUGCGAAUGCUGACAUGAGUAACGAUAAUGCGGGUGAAAAACCCGCACGCCGAAAGCCCAAGGUUUCCUUGCGCAACGUUAAUCGGCGCAGGGUGAGUCGGCCCCUAAGGCGAGGACGAAAGUCGUAGUCGAUGGGAAGCAGGUUAAUAUUCCUGCACCUCGCGUAAGUGCGAUGGAGGGACGGAGAAGGUUAGGUGUACCAGGCGUUGGUUGUCCUGGGGAAAGGCGGUAGGUUUGGAUCUUUGGCAAAUCCGGGAUCCUUUAAGACCGAGCACCGAGACGAGCCUUUAUGGCGAAGUCACUGAUACCACGCUUCCAGGAAAAGCUCCUAAGCUUCAGCUUACGCAGACCGUACCGUAAACCGACACAGGUGGGUAGGAUGAGAAUUCUCAGGCGCUUGAGAGAACUCGGGUGAAGGAACUAGGCAACAUGGCACCGUAACUUCGGGAGAAGGUGCACCCUUUUUGGUGGCUCGUGCGAGCUAUAGCUGAAGAGGGUCGCAGUAACCAGGCCGCUGCGACUGUUUAUCAAAAACACAGCACUCUGCAAACACGAAAGUGGACGUAUAGGGUGUGACGCCUGCCCGGUGCUGGAAGGUUAAUUGAUGGGGUCAGCCGCAAGGCGAAGCUCUUGAUCGAAGCCCCAGUAAACGGCGGCCGUAACUAUAACGGUCCUAAGGUAGCGAAAUUCCUUGUCGGGUAAGUUCCGACCUGCACGAAUGGCGUAACGACAGCGGCGCUGUCUCCACCCGAGACUCAGUGAAAUUGAAAUCGCUGUGAAGAUGCAGCGUUCCCGUGGCAAGACGGAAAGACCCCGUGAACCUUUACUAUAGCUUUACACUGAACGUUGAGUUCGUCUGUGUAGGAUAGGUGGGAGGCUAUGAAACUGUGGCGCUAGCUGCAGUGGAGCCAUCCUUGAAAUACCACCCUGUCGUGCUUGACGUUCUAACCUGGGCCCAUUAUCUGGGUCGGGGACCGUGUAUGGUGGGUAGUUUGACUGGGGCGGUCUCCUCCUAAAGAGUAACGGAGGAGCUCGAAGGUACGCUCAGCGCGGUCGGACAUCGCGCACUGUGUGCAAAGGCAUAAGCGUGCUUGACUGCAAGAUCGACGGAUCAAGCAGGUAGGAAACUAGGACUUAGUGAUCCGGUGGUUCUGUAUGGAAGGGCCAUCGCUCAACGGAUAAAAGGUACUCCGGGGAUAACAGGCUGAUACCGCCCAAGAGUUCAUAUCGACGGCGGUGUUUGGCACCUCGAUGUCGGCUCAUCACAUCCUGGGGCUGUAGUCGGUCCCAAGGGUAUGGCUGUUCGCCAUUUAAAGUGGUACGCGAGCUGGGUUCAGAACGUCGUGAGACAGUUCGGUCCCUAUCUGCCAUGGGCGUUGGAGAUUUGAGAGGGGCUGCUCCUAGUACGAGAGGACCGGAGUGGACGAACCUCUGGUGUUCCGGUUGUCACGCCAGUGGCAUUGCCGGGUAGCUAUGUUCGGAAGCGAUAACCGCUGAAAGCAUCUAAGCGGGAAGCGCGCCUCAAGAUGAGAUCUCCCGGGGCACAAGCCCCCUGAAGGAACCAUGUAGACUACGUGGUUGAUAGGUCAGGUGUGUAAGUACAGCAAUGUAUUGAGCUAACUGAUACUAAUGAUCCGUGCGGCUUGACCAU